GGGUGGGCGUGGUUUUGGCACGCAGCGUACUGGGAGCAGCCGGCCCGCUCUGCCGCCCCGGCAAUGAGGGGCUUAGCAUCCGGGCCAGCGGCUGUGGUGAGUGUACUGGGUCCCGCAGCAGUGCUAGCCCACCGUGGCUGCGCUGGAUUUCUCACCCGGCCUUAGCUGCCUUCCCGCGGGGCAGGGCUCGGGCCUGCAGCCCGCCAUGCCUGAGCCUCCCACCCCCUCCAUGGGCUCCUGUGCGGCCCGAGCCUCCCCGACGAGCGCCACCCCCUGCUCCACGGCGCCCAGUCCCAUCGACCACCCAAGGGCUGAGGAGUGCGGGCACACGGCACCGGGACUGGCAGGCACGUCCGCCUGCAGCCCCGUGCGGGAUCCACUGGGUGAAGCCUGCUGGGCUCCUGAGUCUGGUGGGGACGUGGAGAACCUUUAUGUUAACCUUUAUGUUAACAUGAACCUUUAUGACACUGACCUUGCCAACUGUGUGGGACCUGGUUGAGGCCUCUUGCCACCAGCUAUCUCCAACUUUCCUGGCCAACUAUAUAAUACAGUAGAGGCAACGAAAAUCCCCUCUAGAACAUAACCUCAUUGUCCUGAGAACCACCACCAUCCACCACAAUGGCUGCAGCAAGCCCCGCCCAAGAUAUUUUCUAAAGAUGGAAAGACACAUUCUGCCAUAUAGCUACUAUUUGCUUCCACAUCUGUUAUCUGCUCGUCUCCCCUCAACUCCGUAUCUCAAGAGACUGACCUGCUUGGAUUGCGUCAAGGGCUCUGGCUUAGGACAGACCUCAGCUAACUAUGGGACUUGGCAGGAGAUCCAGCAGCAGGAGGAAAGUGAGUUCUGUUUACCAAAUGUUGUUCAGCUGUGCCUAACAGAUUCAGUUGAUAUUGACUGAGUUUCCGGACUUCACUCUAGGCUAAAGUUUAGUUUAAGUCAACUUAAUUUCUUUCUGCAUUCUGAGAUCAAUAGCUACUUGGGCAUGCUCUUAUCAUGGUGGGAGAUGCGAUUGCAAGAGCUCAAACCGACCCACACAAGCAUAUCUGUAACCUCUAUUCAUACAGUAGUCACAAAGAGUAAAUCACAUACGUAAAGAUGGCAUCAUUUCAGUGAGAAAGUACCCUCUUCCAGUGGCAGGUGGGGAAGAAGGAAAUUUGCUGAAUAUUAAUACAUUCUACGACAUUUACUGGUUGUCACAUCUUCUAAGGGUUGAAGCCACAUACUCCUGCCAAACCAAAGGUCAAAAACUGUGAAGAAUCUGAUGUAUGUAAGCAAGUAACUUAGCCUGCUACAAUUUAACAGAAGCUAGAAGACUACACCAGACUCCUGGAUCAGAGGCAAAAGGCUUCAUUACUUACAACAUAGCAAGCAGAAUUAUCUUCAUGUUCUCAUAUGUUCCACAUCUGCUGCACAAAUGGUGAGUUUAUGUUGCAACUGAAGAACCUGAAGCUUCAGAAACCCACAGUUUUUUUAAAAUUAUACUUUAAGUUCUGGGGUACUUGUGCAGAUCUUGCAGGCUUGUUACAUAUGUAUACAUGUGCCAUGGUGGUUUGCUGCACUUAUCAACCCAUCAUCUACAUUAGGUAUUUCUCCUAAUGCUAUCCCUUUCCCAGCCCCCCACCUCCCGACAGGCCCGGUGUGUAAUGUUCCCCCCUGCCCCCACAUGUCCAUGUGUUCUUGUUGUUCAACUCCCACUUAUGAGUGAGAACAUGCAGUGUUUGGUUUUCUGUUCCUGUGUUAGUUUGCUGAGAAUGAUGGUUUCCAGCUUCAUCCAUGUCCCUGCAAAGGACAUGAACUCAUCCUUUUUUAUGGCUGCACAGUAUUCCAUGGUGUGUAUGUGCCACAUUUUCUUUAUUCAGUCUAUCAUUGAUGGGCAUUUGGGUUGGUUCCAAGUCUUUGCUAUUGUGAACAGUGCCACAAUAAACAUAUGUGUGCAUGUG